CUAGCCCACCAUACUUCACUUAUAAAUCUCUCUCUCUCUCUGAUUUUCUUUUUCUUUGAAAGGUGAAGCUGUGAUGAAGAUCUAGCUGUGUACCGGAGACGGUCUCUAACGAUUCCGUUGUUGACGGCAACACAACCCUCUAAGAAUUAUGGUGGUGAGGUAAAUUGGCGAGGUGAUGAUAGAAAUUCAGACCAAGUCUGUCAAUCCGCUGAACUAUAGUGUGACGACUCCAUGAAUCCCGACAGGUUCUGAUCGCUAUUUUAUGUCGCCACCGAUUUGAAUUUCCAAGGCACGGUUAUAAGUCUUAGACAUACACUCAUACCCAAGUCCUUUCUAAUCUAACCUAGUGAAACUAGGGUCCUAUUGUUGUGAUGCUUUUUGUUUCUCUUUUUAAUUGAAGUGCUGUCUGUUUUUGCUGUGUUCAGAGUUUGGUUGGGCAAGUGAUGAAUCUCAUUGUAAUUUAAUGGGUAAUUUGCGUCUGAGAUCUUUCAUUGAUGCUUUAUCACCUUGGAGAACUGAUGCCCUCUUUUAUUUUGAGUGAGAUGCACUUCAAAUCUAAUACAAAACUUGUUCAGUUGCACAUAGGCACACGGUCUGCGUAGUCUGCGAAGUGUACCCAACCCUCUUAUUUUGCAACUAUAUUGCGUGCAUUGUGAUGGGUAUGUCACUGAGCAAGAAUUGAAAGCCUUGACGGUAUAUGCAACUGAGGAAGUUCUAGAUUUUCACCUUUUUUUAGUUUUAUCUGUUUUAAGAAUUAACAUUUGUUAGCUCCUUUUAUGUCUAUAAUGACGUUCGUGUUCUUGUGCUGUUGAGUGUUGUGGAAAUGAUGAUAUACUUUACUGGCAUGUUCAUCCUAGGAGGCAAGUGGCUAUUGUAUGUUAAUAUUUUAUAUAGGAAUUUGUUCAUCUAUUUGGUGGGGCACAUGACGAAUAUUAGUAUUGUAAUGGGUAAUUUGCGUCUGAGAUUUACAGUGAUGCCAUUUCAUAUUAAAGAACUGAUGCCCCCCGUCUUUACGUCUUUAAAUUUUUUAAUAUGAUGGUAUAUUGUCGUUCAGAUGGUCGAGCAAAAGGCUCUGUUGUUUUAUUUUUCGGAAGUGAUGCAUCUACCAAAAGAUGCGUCUCGAUAAAAUCUAGAAAAUCUUUUUUUAAUUAAUUGUUAAAGGAAGUGUUUUAAAUGUAUUUUUGUUAAUUUUUUAAAAUAUUUAAAUUGAUUAAAAAAAUGUUUAAAAAAAUAUAUAUAUAUAUAGAUAGAAACUACUAUUAGGAGUAUUCAUUUUGCAUACAUGAUGUGUCAUCAUCUAGACUACACAUCUUCCUAAGUGAGUGUUGAGAAUAAUAAAUUAGAAGCAGUCAUGCAGUGAAUGUAAAGUGUGCAUUGAUAUAGUGGCUUCUCGUUAGCAUUAUUCUAAAAAAAAAUAUAUUUUACAUUUCUAAUACUUCACUGUUUUACGAAGAAAUUGGGGUUUGAAUACUUGUUUCUGUUCCACCUAUGUUGGAAAGUGUGCAUGAAGAGUGGGGGCUAAAGGUUUUCACACAAGGAAAAUGCUAGGUCUACAAAAAUUGUUUACUGAAACCAUCCACUGAAUGACUUGGCUAUUGCGAGGUGGAUCAGACAAACAAAAAUAAAAAUCCUACCUCAUCUCCAGACUCCACCUACAGCCCCUACCCCCCAUCUCCCAGCUCCCUUAUCAGAAGCUAUGACUUACGAGCUCUCAUCUCCCUCAUCUCUACCUAAAAUGCUUCUCCCUAAAAAUCUUGAGCACAUAUCAUAGAACCAGACGAUCUCUCUUCUCUCUAAAAUUCAAAUCUUCGCUUUGUGGCUUCUAUCUUCCUGAGCCAUCUCAUCUCCCUUUUGGCAUCCUUUCAACAUCUCAUCCUUUGAACCAUGAACUCACGUACAAAACCUGAGCCAAAGCCCUUAGCUUCCAUAGCCCGUUGUCCUUCACCUUGAACGAACACCCCCACUCUAAACCCAUGAUUGCCUUAAUCUCUCUCCCCCUUUUAUUUUUAAACCUCCCGGAGCUUCCAUCUUCCUAAGCAAGAACCCUACAUCUCCAUGAGCCCGCUACUUGCCUCCAUCCCGAUUGGUAGAGCUCGAACCCUCCAUCUCUCUGAGCCCGUCGCUUGCCUCCAUCACGAUGUGUAGAGCUUCAUUUACAACAAUAGAGCCUAUGUUGUUACAUAGUAUGCUUCGUUGCUUGUGUAUAAUUUUCACUUCUCUAUCUUAUGUUUUCUAGGAUGAUUUAUGUUCAGCUCGUCUAACUUUUUGCUAUUAUUGAUGGGUUAUAAAUUGUAAUUACUAACUGUUUGAAUUACCAUUGUUGUAAAUGUUUUCUGUAGUGAUUUAUAGUUAUUGAUUUAACAUAUUUGUAACAAUUAAUAUGUUUAAUUGGUAAAAAAAUAAAAAAUUAAAGGAAGGAGAGUUGCAGUUUGGGUUGCGUACAUUGUUUGAAACUCAAGAAGAAAAUAAGAAUUUAAUUUGAUAUAUUUUUUCCUUUUUACUUUGUCCAAGCUAAGUGAGUUAACGAAACAACAAAAUGUAGAAAAAAAUAAAGGGCUCUGUGUUAAAAAAAUGUUGUGUUAAAAUAAAGGCUCUAUUGUUAACACAAUAUGUUGUUGUUACAAUAAUAUUGUUACACAUUUUUUUAACACAAUAUUAUUACACAUUUUUUUAAAAUAGUAUGCUGUUAUAGCAUACGUAGAAAUUUUUUUUUGUCAUGCGUAGCACAGAAUAAUUCUAUUUAAAUGACAGAAAAAAGGAUCCUAAUUAAUUAAGCUCCAUUUUACAUGCAGUAAUAUUAGAGAUUUUGAUUUAAUGGAGUUUGCAAAAAGGGGCACCCGAAUUAUGGACUUUGAUUAUCUUUUCUUAUGGGUUAUGAUUUACUUUCUUCUGCUAAUUGAAUGACAUAAAUACAACAGAUUGUUCAGAAACUUGAAGUUGUAUAUUUCAUUGAUGACAACAAAUAUUGAAGUUGUGUCAAAUGUGUAGAUGAUAACAAGCAGUUACAGUUGUUGGAUGGGCAUGAAUUUGGUGCUGGAGUAAGAGUUGCAGUUGUUGGGUUCUACUCAAUUUUGGUUUGGUAUCUUUGGGGUUUGGGCAAUUUUGAGAUGUACUCUAAUAUUGACAUGUAAUGGAUGAACAUUUUUAUGUUUUGGGUAAUUUUGAGAUGUACUUUAAUAUUGAUAUGUAAUGGAUGAACAUUUUUAUGUUUUGGGCAUUUUUUGUUGUAAAGUUGUAAAUAUGUUACUUUUGAGAAUGAAUGGACAGUUUUAAAUUUGUGUAUA